rnacentral:rRNA from 1 species
UACGUAGGGGGCAAGCGUUGUCCGGAAUUACUGGGCGUAAAGGGCGCGUAGGCGGUUGGAUAAGUCAGCUGUGAAAACCACGAGCUUAACUCGUGGCCUGCAGUUGAGACUGUCUGGCUUGAGUGUGGGAGAGGAGAGUGGAAUUCCUGGUGUAGCGGUGAAAUGCGUAGAUAUCAGGAGGAACACCGGUGGCGAAGGCGGCUCUCUGGACCACAACUGACGCUGAGGCGCGAAAGCUAGGGGAGCAAACAGG